GUGGCGUGCAAAUUAAUUGGUGUAGUUGUCGAAGGAGCCGAGAUACUCCAAAGCGGCGCGGUAGCAGAAGUGAUAUUGGUCCUGGAAUGGAAAAUGGGAGAGUUAGAUGUUUAGCCGAGCUUCUCCUCCUAUUUGUGGCGUGCGACUUGAUGUUUUUCCACAAAUGGCAAAUGGUUUUUAUGAGGAGCUUUUUCAUGGCAGAAAUAUACUCGGAGGCUUGCCACUGCCUGUCGAGGGAAAAAAACGUUUUCUAUCAUUUUGCUGUUUCAUGCGCGGAUAUUCGAACCUACGCACUCCCGAAUGGUAGUCACGCACUAACCCAUUCGGCUACGUAUGCGCACUGUUUGGAAUACAUCCAGUACUCCUUCAUACUGCAUACGUUCCAGCACAAUACUCAGUGUUAUAAAGACGC